GAGUAAUUGGUCUCUAAUACUCAAAAUUGGGGCACCAAUUAAAGCCCACUAGCUAAAGCCCAAUAAAAAUAAAGAUAAUGCCAAAAAUAAAGAAAUCUAAAAUUUGUGAAACUUUGGUUCAUUGUUCUCAAAGCAGGUAAGAAUGACUAAACUCUAAUCUUUCAUCCACUCGUCUGAAGGCUCACAUUUGUUUAGAAAUUUGUCAUCUCCUUGAACGGAUUUCAAUGAUAUUAGGAGCUAAUUUGGUGCAUAAAAGCAAGAAGGAUCGAGUGCAUAAAAGCAAGAAGGAUCCUACAGUUGUUUGUGAAAAGUCCAACGAAUCAAAGUACAACGAGAUUUAUAUUUUUUGCUUGGGUGAAUGCUACCACAAUUUCAUGCAAACAUGGAGUGUUAAGUCUCAUUGGUAAUCAUGAAGAUCAACUUGUCAGUCUACAAUACUUCAAGCACCUCCCCUUUUCCAUUGAUGUUUCAAACCUUAGAGGUGCAUAUAACUACACUUGAUAUAUUUGACACGUUUUGGAGACUUGAGUUUACAAGUAAAGAUAUAGGUUUUGAAGACUUCAUGCAAGUUGACAAGAUAAGUGUUUUAUGGCAGCAAGUACAAGUUAUAAUACGACUAAACGCUAAAGGUACAGACGCUCGUUUUGGAGAUCCGCCAGCUUAGGAUAUCUAUUCAGCUACUUUGGAGUGGUCCUUUGUUCCGGAGCCUAGCUUGUGCUGAAGAGCAGCAUCGACGGAAGAAAGUGAUUGAUGAUAUUGGAAGUUCCAAAGUACGCAGGUAAGCAAAGGUACGAAAGGUAUAUGUCGAGUAAGGUAUGGAAGUACGAUUGAAAUGUAAAGUUGAAAACUGAAAGAGAAACUAACAGGUGCAGUUUGAGUUGGGCAUACGAGGUAUGUUCAUCAUUUUCAUAUUGUUGUUGAUAUUGGGAGCCCUGUGUGGCUAUGAUACGAUAUGAUAUAUGUACGUAUAAAUGUUGGCCCUGUGAGGCAUUGUUGGUAUUUUCUGCGUGCAGGUUUUGGGAUAGUAAGAAGUACAGAGAAAACUCUGCCCAAAUUUUCCCAGAAAUUGAAAAAGAGAAUCAGAUAUAGGUUUGUAAUAUGUUUUGAAGGGUUGUGUCAAUAGUAAGGAUAGGAUUUGACUAAGUUUCCAAUACGGCUGACCUCGAGAAAUAAGCCGACUGUCGAAUCGAUGGAAAUAGUAAUUAGGAAGUCGAUUUCGAUAUGGUAAAAAAAAGAAUUUGGAAAGGGUUUAUGAUACUAAGAGAUGAUUUAGAAAAGACCGGCAAAUCUUGAUAAAGUGUUAUAGUAAGGUACCGACUGAAUUGAUAAGCAGGGAUAAAUUAUGAUGAUUUUAUAGUAAAAGAAGUAGUAGUAUGAUUAAGAUGAGAGUACAGAGGAAAAUGAAUUGUGACGGAUGCAAAUGUAUUGGUAAGACAAGCUGUGAGGUAGUGAAGCAUAAGAUUUACUAGGAAGGGUAAAAGGUUAAGUAUGCUUAUACAACACUAAUGUAACAUUCGAGGACGAAUGUUCCUAAGGGGGGAAUAAUGUUACACUCCAUAAUAAUUCGUGAUACUUGUAUUAAAACAAGAAAGAAUGAGUUAAGAAGGUUCAAGGAAAGUUAGUCGAGUUAGUAAGAAUAUCGUUAUAUAUAUGGUUUCCUUAAGUAUCCCAAGGUGACACGGUUACCUAAAGGAUUUGAAAUCACGCUAUGAGUAUGUAUAUGAGGUAAUGCGAGUGACCUUUUAAAGUAUUUGAGAUUAUUAGUAAUGAUAUAGAGGAUGGACAAAAGAUAUGAGUAUACUUUUGCGAUUGGAGUUUCGUCAAAGCUUUGUGAGUUCUCUAGUUAUGUUUAAGGUUAUUGUGAUUCUCCGGACCCUUCGAGAUGUGUAUAUGGAUUUUUAUUGAUGUAUAUAAGUGUGUAUAUGUAUGUAUAAGAGGUUACAUGAGGUUGGAAGAGGAUAAGAAGUUAAACGAAAUGAAUCGGGACAAUUUCAGUAAAAUCUCGGACCCGAUUUUAGCCUAUAUUGUAGGAGGCAUAUCUCCUAGUAUAUGAGGAGUUUUAAGAUGUUUCAAAAGCCUAAAAUGAAGUUCAUCGAGUCUAGUUUACAAUGCAACAAACCGCUUGUCAAAAUGAUAUCGGGGUAAGGCGAUAUGGACGAUGCAAGUUGGGCUGAGUAUUAAGACUUAAAUGUUCACAAAUUUUUCACUAGUGGCCGUGUGGGCCCCACAAACACAUGACAAAAUCAGAUUUUUGCCGAUGCUUAGUUGGGGGAACGUGUAAGGCCUUCUUUGGCAGCAAAAUGGGAUUAAAUUAACAAUGGUUAAAUUAUUAAGUGGGAUUGGGAACAAAAAUCAGUCCCUUAUUCUAAGCCAUGUUUGGUCGUGCAUUAUAGUGAAAUGGUCAAAGAUUCUUGAUCCAAAAAUUUAAGUGGACACAUGUCCAACUUGUGGACUGCAUAUAUAAGAAAAAAAAAUGCUGAUUCAUGGUUCAACAAGUUAGCCAUUUCACCUUCACAAAGUUGUGAGAAACCAAGAAAUAGAAAGAGAAGGUCUCGGCCAUGGCUGGCCGAGAAUCAACUCUAAAGUUAGACCAAAAAAAAUCAGUUUCUCCAUCAAAUCAACUCCUCAUCAAGUGCAUAAGAACGUGUAGUAGUUGUUGGAAAGAAACAAGGAGGUGUAGCAUGUCAAUAAGGUAGAAGAUUCGGCCAAGGUUGAAGAACAAAUUGUAAGGUAAGAAUGAUUAUUUUUCUUGUGUUGUAUGAUGAUUUGAAUGUACAAUUCGUGCAUGUUGUUGUUGGAUUAUUGUUGUGGUUAAAGUUGAGGUGAGCUGUGAGCUUGGGUGAAGCCGUGGUUGGUCUCAUUUUGCAUGUAUGGUUGAUGGAUUGAAUGUGUGUCAACAUAUGUAAAUGAUUAAAGAUUGUAAGAAGUUUGUUUAAGAUGUUGUAUAUUGGUAUUGGACUGUUUUUCUUGAAAUUGAAGGGGGUCGUGUGUUUUAGACUUAGAUGGAAUCAUGCUUAAUCUUCUUGUACAUGUAUUGGGAAUGAAUUGAAUGUGUUGUAAUAUGGAUAAAUGGAUGAAAAUCAUGAGGAUGUUAUAGUUGUGUUGAAGCCGUGUAGGGGGCUGUUUUAGGGGAAUUUAUGGACUGUUUUGUGUCAUAUUUUGAUUGUUGUUCUUAUGGACAUUAUGGUGUAUUGUAUGCAUAUUGAAUAUGUGAAUUGAGGUGUUAAAGAAACGAAUCAUGUUGAAGUAUACAAGCAGUUCAAAACCGUGGAGUAUUUUAAGGUUAGAAGUGAUUUAGUGUAUGUUGAAUGUUGAAUGUUGUUAUGAACAUAUAGUGAAAGUGAAGUGAAAUGAUUCAAGUUGAAAUGGAAAUGAUUUGUGGGCUGUUGUAAGAAUAAAAAUGAUGCUAAAACAGUUCCAAGAAUCGUGAAAGUAAUGUUACUAAACGUGUUGUUGUCGUUGUAAGUUAAAUCUGGAAAAUUGCUAAGUGAAAAUGGUAUUGUGGUAUGUGCUGUUUGGCCGUGAGUUUGGGACUGAUUUGAAUGAUGUACAAGCUGUCCAAAGUCCCCUAAGUCAUGUUAAACAAGUUUGGAUUGAUAUAUGAAAGAAUGAUUAGCAAUGAUAGCUUGUAGCACUAGUUGGUUUGAAUGCGAACGAAACGUCGUUUAAAUGUUAGAAAAGGAUUGUGAGCGUCAAAAUACGUAUUAAAUUCCUUUGUAGACUAAUUGUAGCUCUUGAUAUCUUGAUAUAGGAUAAGUAUUUUUGGGCAGCAAGUACAAGUUAUAAUACGACUAAACGCUAAAGGUACAGACACUCGUUUUGGAGAUCCGCCAUCUUAGGAUAUCUAUUCAGCUACUUUGGAGUGCUCCUUUGUUCCGGAGCCUAGCUUGUGGUGUAAAUCCCUUUUGCUGUAUAUGUAUGUGUUUAUUCGGGGUACGGCGGGGCCCUGUUCCGCCAUAUGUUUCUGUUGGUCUGUUUAGAGGUCUGUAGACGUAUUUGUGGGUGUGUGUGCCUACUUCUGUACAUAUGUGUUUGUAUGACCCUGUUCGUUAUGGCAGCCUUGUCGGCGUGCACUUUGUAUAUGUUUUGGGCCGUUGCGCCAUCUGUUAGCCUUGUCGGCUUUUGAUACUUUUGAUAGCCUUGUCGGCUUUUGAUACAUUUGAUAGCCUUGCCGGCUUUUUGAUAUAGAUAUAUAUAUAUAUAUAUAUAUAUAUAUUUAUAUAUAUGCA